rnacentral:rRNA from 1 species
AAUAGAUACCCAGGUAGUCCACGCCGUAAACGAUGAGUGCUAAGUGUUAGAGGGUUUCCGCCCUUUAGUGCUGAAGUUAACGCAUUAAGCACUCCGCCUGGGGAGUACGGCCGCAAGGCUGAAACUCAAAGGAAUUGACGGGGGCCCGCACAAGCGGUGGAGCAUGUGGUUUAAUUCGAAGCAACGCGAAGAACCUUACCAGGUCUUGACAUCCUCUGACAACCCUAGAGAUAGGGCUUCUCCUUCGGGAGCAGAGUGACAGGUGGUGCAUGGUUGUCGUCAGCUCGUGUCGUGAGAUGUUGGGUUAAGUCCCGCAACGAGCGCAACCCUUGAUCUUAGUUGCCAUCAUUUAGUUGGGCACUCUAAGGUGACUGCCGGUGACAAACCGGAGGAAGGUGGGGAUGACGUCAAAUCAUCAUGCCCCUUAUGACCUGGGCUACACACGUGCUACAAUGGACGGUACAAAGAGCUGCAAGACCGCGAGGUGGAGCUAAUCUCAUAAACCGUUCUCAGUUCAGA